UUCGUCCCCGGACGUUGCUCUCUGCCCCGGGAACGUCGAGACUGGAGCGCCCGAACUGAGCCACCUUCGCGGACCCCGAGUGCGGCGGCCCGACUCACCGCGGAGGCGCCAGGACGCGUAAAGUGCGUACUUUCAACCGCGAAUGUGUGCUUAGGCUUUUAGGGGUGCGGGGAACGCCCCAACUCUGCGGAGCCCUGUUCGGUUCUGCAGCCACGCCCGAGACCUUCUGAUCCCUCGCUGCGCACGGCGCUGGGCCGGCGACUAGGGAUCAGAGGUGGCGGGGUGGGGGGGUGCUUUGACCUGGGGUCCUCCGAGGCCGUGGGCAAGUCCUGCUUCGCUUUAGCCCGCUGCAUCCCCCAGGGCGAGGCCUCGGCCCGGGUCAGCAGCAGUCUGUCUCCCGUCUGGGGAGUCAGGGAUUCUGAACGCCUGAGCACAGGGACUCGUCUGGGGCUCUGGGACUCUGGUCUCCCCGUCCCAUGAGCCGCUUUGCCCUGGGACAAGUCGCCCAACUUCUUGGGACAGGGACAGAGCUGUGUCCAGGGCCCAGGUAGGAGCUGGCUGGGCCCUAUAGGGCGGGGGAGGCUUGUCUUCCGCGGCUGAGGAACGUGUCCCGAGAAGUCGACCUCCGGGUAAGGAGUCCAGCAGGAGCGCAGGUGGACACUGGCCUUGGGCGGGGAUCCUCCUCUUUGGUUUCCCGGCCCUGGCAGGACCCUCUGUCCCACUAGACAUGCAUUUCCAGCAAGUCAAGACCCAAGUGUGCGUGGAGGUCGGAGGGGCGCGUGUGAAUGUGACCCCUAGCCUUUCAACUGCCCAGCGGAUCUCUGCUAUUCUGGGCAGGCAGGGGCGCACACCCCGGAACCUUACCACUGGCCUAGUCGGCCUCCCACGUUCCCCAGCACGUCCAUGCUGCCCUUCAGCAGGGGGCAGGGGUGCUUAGGGUGGAUUAGGGAAUUCUGCUCAGCCACACCUGACUGGAGGGGGUCCCACUUGCAUGUCUCCCUUCAGCAGGGCGCCUCUGUGUUGGUGGAUCAGCUCCUUUCCUGCCCCUUUCUUUGCGGGAGGGGAGAAGGAGCAAGUGAGAGGAGAUGCCUCCAACUGGGCCAGUUUCUGAGGGCUCUGGGGGCUUCGGGGGCCACCCCCUCCAGGGUGGGGGGAAGAGGAUAUUGGGGUCCCAACUUUUGUUGGACAAUUUCCAGCCCUGAUUCUUGACUCUGGGAGAUGCCAGUCUGAGGACAGUGGCCUGCCCCCACCCACAGGGAGUUGGGGCAGGAACAUGGGUCAGGUCCCUCUUCCACAAUUAGCCUCAGAAAAUGAAAGGGCCACUUUGGGCCCAGAGAGCCUUUCUGGGCUGCCUGGGAUGUGGGGGCUGUGUGUGCGUGUGUGUGCGCGCGUGGGCCCAGUGCAUGUGUGUGGGAGGCAGGGCCAGGGCAGGGCCAGCCCACCUGUAGCAGUGGAUCACACUCUUUUCAGACCUGGGGGUGCCCUGGGACCCUGCGUGUCCUUCUGUCUGGGGCUGCUGGUGUCUCCUGGUCUGACAGGCUGCAGCCCCAUCCCUGGGGGUUCUGGAGCACUGGACGGGGCGCCCAGACCCGCUGGCUCCACAGCCUCCUGGUCAGGUGAAGUUGAGACAGAGUCCAGGGCAGCACCCCAUCUUGCUGCAGCUCCGGUACUUCCCGUCGCUUCCCUGACUGUCCUGCCUUCUCCCUGCUGUCCAGAGUGAGAGUACUGGCCAAGGUCCAGUCAGGACCCAUGGGAGGCCAGGACCUCAGUGGGCCUGCAGGCUCCCUGUGGGGAGAGUGGAGCCGAGCUGAGGCUUCUCCUGCCACAGGACCUGGCCCGGGCUCCCCCUGCCCCCUCCUGCCUACCCUCUCCCAGCUCCAGCAGGGGGCGGACACGGGAAAGAAAAGCAGGGACUUGUUGAACUGGGUCCAUUUGGUGUCUGGGAGCAACUUGGAGAGAGGGAGGGGGCAGGGGGUAGGUGGCAGGGCCCUGGCACUGUGAGUCGGACUGGCCUUCGGAUGGCCUCCUGCUCCCCAGAGCACCAGCAUGGUAGCGUCCAUGAAGGGGACGACUGGGUGGACCCUGGCACUGGCCUCUCCCUCCCACUGCUUUUGUGUGGGGUGCAGCCCAUCUCCCCACUGCUCAGAGGACUGUCAGGAGACUCCCCGUCUGACUAGGGACAUCUAGUGGUCCUCUGCACCCCACUUCUGAGACUUCAGGGACAUGGCCUGGCCCACACACCUCAGAAGAGUUGGAUACCUACAUGUGUGUGCCCCGUGCCCAGCUCUGGGCCUCCACCUGGGCCCUCUUGCCCCAUGGUGAGCCGAGCCCCUGGCCACGCCCUGGCACCUGGCAGGACACCCUUCUGCUGCUUGUUCUCCGUGGCCGUGGCCUUGGUGGGUGUGGCUCAACGCAGGUAUCUAUGUCUGCCUCCUGCUCCAGACGUGCUGCUCCCAGGCUGCCACCAGGACCCCCCAG